rnacentral:RNase_P_RNA from 1 species
CGACAGCGCUGAGUUGUCGCGCGGCAACAUACCGAAAGGUCUUGCCGUGAGGAAAGUCCGGGCUUCAUAGGGCAGGAUAACGGAUAACGUCCGCCGGAGGCGACUCCAGGGAAAGUGCAACAGAAAUAAACCGCAGCAUGUUCGCUGACAUUUUGUCAGAGAACAGCUGUAAGGAUGGAAAGGCGAGGUAAGAGCUCACCGGAACGGCUGGCAACUGUCGUUCCCUGUAAACCCUAUCCGAAGCAACACCGUAAAUGGUCAAGACGUUUGCCCGACGCAUGAUCUACGGUGGCGCGGCGCUUUGGCGCCGGAGCUGUACGGUAACGUACAGCAAAGAUAGAUGACAACUCUCGACAGAACCCGGCUUAUAGGCACUGUCAACAU